rnacentral:rRNA from 1 species
GAUGAACGCUGGCGGCGUGCCUAGUACAUGCAAGUCGAGCGAACAGACGAGGAGCUUGCUCCUCUGACGUUAGCGGCGGACGGGUGAGUAACACGUGGAUAACCUACCUAUAAGACUGGGAUAACUUCGGGAAACCGGAGCUAAUACCGGAUAAUAUAUUGAACCGCAUGGUUCAAUAGUGAAAGACGGUUUUGCUGUCACUUAUAGAUGGAUCCGCGCCGCAUUAGCUAGUUGGUAAGGUAACGGCUUACCAAGGCAACGAUGCGUAGCCGACCUGAGAGGGUGAUCGGCCACACUGGAACUGAGACACGGUCCAGACUCCUACGGGAGGCAGCAGUAGGGAAUCUUCCGCAAGGGGCGAAAGCCUGACGGAGCAACGCCGCGUGAGUGAUGAAGGUCUUCGGAUCGUAAAACUCUGUUAUUAGGGAAGAACAAAUGUGUAAGUAACUAUGCACGUCUUGACGGUACCUAAUCAGAAAGCCACGGCUAACUACGU